rnacentral:rRNA from 1 species
UUGAACGCUGGCGGCAGGGCUACCAUGCAGUCGACGGUAACAGGAAGCAGCUUGCUGCUUCGCUGACGAGUGGCGGACGGGUGAGUAAUGUCUGGGGAUCUGCCUGAUGGAGGGGGAUAACUACUGGAAACGGUAGCUAAUACCGCAUAACGUCGCAAGACCAAAGAGGGGGACCUUCGGGCCUCUUGCCAUCAGAUGAACCCAGAUGGGAUUAGCUAGUAGGUGGGGUAACGGCUCACCUAGGCGACGAUCCCUAGCUGGUCUGAGAGGAUGACCAGCCACACUGGAACUGAGACACGGUCCAGACUCCUACGGGAGGCAGCAGUGGGGAAUAUUGCACAAUGGGCGCAAGCCUGAUGCAGCCAUGCCGCGUGUAUGAAGAAGGCCUUCGGGUUGUAAAGUACUUUCAGCGGGGAGGAAGGCGAUAUAGGUAAUAACCGUGUCGAUUGACGUAACCCGCAGAAGAAGCAACCGCUAACUCCGUGCCAGCAGCCGCGGUAAUACGGAGGGUGCAAGCGUAAAUCGGAAUAACUGGGCGUAAAGCGCACGCAGGCGGUCUGUCAAGUCGGAUGUGAAAUCCCCGGGCUCAACCUGGGAACUGCAUUCGAAACUGGCAGGCUUGAGUAUUGUAGAGGGGGGUAGAAUUUCAGGUGUAGCGGUGAAAUGCGUAGAGAUCUGGAGGAAUACCGGUGGCGAAGGCGGCCCCCUGGACAAAGACUGACGCUCAGGUGCGAAAGCGUGGGGAGCAAACAGGAUUAGAUACCCUGGUAGUCCACGCUGUAAACGAUGUCGACUUGGAGGUUGUGCCCUUGAGGCGUGGCUUCCGGAGCUAACGCGUUAAGUCGACCGCCUGGGGAGUACGGCCGCAAGGUUAAAACUCAAAUGAAUUGACGGGGGCCCGCACAAGCGGUGGAGCAUGUGGUUUAAUUCGAUGCAACGCGAAGAACCUUACCUGGUCUUGACAUCCACAGAACUUUCCAGAGAUGGAUUGGUGCCUUCGGGAACUGUGAGACAGGUGCUGCAUGGCUGUCGUCAGCUCGUGUUGUGAAAUGUUGGGUUAAGUCCCGCAACGAGCGCAACCCUUAUCCUUUGUUGCCAGCGGUCCGGCCGGGAACUCAAAGGAGACUGCCAGUGAUAAACUGGAGGAAGGUGGGGAUGACGUCAAGUCAUCAUGGCCCUUACGACCAGGGCUACACACGUGCUACAAUGGCGCAUACAAAGAGAAGCGAACUCGCGAGAGCAAGCGGACCUCAUAAAGUGCGUCGUAGUCCGGAUUGGAGUCUGCAACUCGACUCCAUGAAGUCGGAAUCGCUAGUAAUCGUGGAUCAGAAUGCCACGGUGAAUACGUUCCCGGGCCUUGUACACACCGCCCGUCACACCAUGGGAGUGGGUUGCAAAAGAAGUAGGUAGCUAACCUCGGAGGCGCUACCACUGAAG